rnacentral:tRNA from 1 species
GCCGGAGUGGUGAAAUUGGUAGACACGCUACGUUCAGGUCGUAGUGCUCGCAAGGGCUUGGAGGUUCAAAUCCUCUCUCCGGCA